rnacentral:misc_RNA from 1 species
UCUAGGGGAUUGAAGACUUAGCGUUAAAAAUUGGUUGGCCGAUUCUCCAUGACUAAAUCGAGACUGAAAUGUCAUGGCCCCUGCUUCCUCUUUCUCCUAAGUUGGUGGUCCUGUGAUACCUAUCGGAGGUGGUGGGGGCUUGAGUUGUGAUCCUUUUGUUGUGGCUUCUUAUCUUGCUUUGGCGAGUUGAGGCAUUGGCAGAAGAUCUUUCUAGCUUUCGAUGGGUUCUCCAGUCAAGCUUUCGACGACAGCGCAAUUUUUUUUGGUGUUGAUCCUGAGUUCUGCUUAGGUGGUUUGGGUCUAGGGUUUGGCUGGAUGGGACUUUGGGCCUGUUAUUGGGUUUGGUUGCUUGGGUUAGAAAAUUUGCUUUGUUUUCCUGGCCUCAAUGUAAUCUUAUGGUGGACUUUAAUGCAAUGCUAACAUGCAAUUGUAAAAAAAAAACACCUGAACGGCAAGAGGGAGAUUAAAGUACACCUGUGCUAGAAAGAGGACAACGGCAGCAAGAGGGAGAUUGAAGCACACUUGUGCCAAAAAGAGGAGAACGACGGGUUGGGGCAACUUUGGUCUACGACGUGGCAAAGUACUAGAACAAAGAUAGAAAUUCAGGAUUAAGGCUAGGAGAGAAUGAAAGGCUGCAGGUAGGGGCUGUGGGNNNNNNNNNNNUUUUGGGGAUUACUAAAAUUUUAGAGGUUCCUAAUUUAAAAUUCGAUAAAUUAUUGACGGCC